rnacentral:rRNA from 1 species
CCUACGGGAGGCAGCAGUGGGGAAUCUUGGACAAUGGGGGGAACCCUGAUCCAGCGACGCCGCGUGAGUGAAGAAGUAUUUCGGUAUGUAAAGCUCUAUCAGCAGGGAAGAAAGAAAUGACGGUACCUGACUAAGAAGCCCCGGCUAACUACGUGCCAGCAGCCGCGGUAAUACGUAGGGGGCAAGCGUUAUCCGGAUUUACUGGGUGUAAAGGGAGCGUAGACGGCGAUGCAAGUCUGAAGUGAAAGGCGGGGGCCCAACCCCCGGACUGCUUUGGAAACUGUAUGGCUGGAGUGCAGGAGAGGUAAGUGGAAUUCCGAGUGUAGCGGUGAAAUGCGUAGAGAUUAGGAGGAACACCAGUGGCGAAGGCGGCUUACUGGACUGUAACUGACGUUGAGGCUCGAAAGCGUGGGGAGCAAACAGGAUUAGAUACCCGUGUAGUC